CCUACGGGAGGCAGCAGUGGGGAAUAUUGCACAAUGGGGGAAACCCUGAUGCAGCGACGCCGCGUGAAGGAAGAAGUAUUUCGGUAUGUAAACUUCUAUCAGCAGGGAAGAAAAUGACGGUACCUGACUAAGAAGCCCCGGCUAACUACGUGCCAGCAGCCGCGGUAAUACGUAGGGGGCAAGCGUUAUCCGGAUUUACUGGGUGUAAAGGGAGCGUAGGCGGUGUAGCAAGUCAGAAGUGAAAGCCCGGGGCUCAACUCCGGGACUGCUUUUGAAACUGUUGAACUAGAGUGCAGGAGAGGUAAGUGGAAUUCCUAGUGUAGCGGUGAAAUGCGUAGAUAUUAGGAGGAACACCAGUGGCGAAGGCGGCUUACUGGACUGUAAAUGACGCUGAGGCUCGAAAGCGUGGGGAGCAAACAGGAUUAGAUACCCGGGUAGUC
rnacentral:rRNA from 1 species